CAGGUUGGUGUGAAGGUGUGGACUCUGCUAUGGAUCAGGGUGAGGACCCAGAGGAGGGAGUCCCUCCCUCUGAAGCCCCUCUGUGUGGGGAACAUGACAGCGAGACCACAGCUCAGAGGACCCAUCAGAGACCAGGACCUGGACCCGCAUCUGGAUAUGAACCUGAUCCUGGACCUGGUCCUGAACCCAGCUGUGUGUCCAUGAAGAGUAACCGGUCUAAAAAUUUUCCCAUGAACUUCAAGGAGGGUCUCGGGUUGAUGAUGGGGUUUUUCUAUGAGACUCUCUGGUGGAAGUUCUGGGUUUCUUAGGGAAUGUGUAUUCCCUAUGAUCACCACCCCCCAACAAGUUUGUGUUUUUCCGCUUUUAGAAGAUACCAUGCAAUCAUCCUCUUGACAGUCAUUUUUGUAUUAAAUGUACAUCUUUCUGCAUUUAGAGAAAUAGACGGUUCUAUCUAAUAACAUUAUUAUUGUAACCAGCCAUAAUGGUUGAUCAGCCAACAUUAGCACGUUAGCCUACGUUAGAUAGCCUAACAUUAUAUCAGCGCACCAACGGCACACGUUAUCAACUAUCUUAAAAGAAAUCUUUUUUCUAUCUUGUUCGAAAACAACGUUUUUUUCAGAUACCUUCACUCGUAAAAAUAUCUCGAGUCAGACACCGGUCCUGAUGAGACAUCAAGGUAGUUAAACAGCUAUCUUACUGUUAAGCGUUUUCGAACACAGCCUCCACUGUACAGUAGUCCAUCUCCCAAAUUUGAUGCAUUGAGCUUUUCUCCAACGAUGAGCUGUCAGUUUGUUAAUGACUAGCAGCUGGUUUGUCUUAUCAAUAAUAUAUUUACCCCAGUAAUAUCAUCAAAACUUACCUGAGUCGAUGUUUUCCUUGUGCUCAAAUGCAGUAGUGUGGCCUCAAUAGCCCUGCUGUAAUGUGAAAAGUGGCCCAACUCGGGCCCCGAAAGUCACCAAUAAUCGCGAUGGUGGUGUGUGACUUUUGUGUGGACAAACAUACAUCAUACUCGUUGCUGUAUAAAGUUAGUCUACUGCAGUUGUGCGCAACCAGGGCAGUCCAGAGGACGUCUUCAUGUAAACUUCCUGUUACUGUACUUCGUGUAAAUCAGUCGUGCCGAACCAGUCGAUCGCGGGAUGAGCUGCAGUCAAUCGCGAGAAAUUUUGACCCCAGGACGCUUUGUUAAGGUGUUGAACACAGAACUUGACCCACAGCCAUACUAAGUUGGGUCGUGGUGCCCACACUCUUACACAUUAAACAGUAACAUUUGAGCACAACACAACAGAACCUAGAAAAACACACAUAAACUUAAACACUAGAACAUGAACAUAACAGAUAAGAGAUUUAAAUGGAUCCAAAGAUUGUCCCAUAAUGCAAUGCGCCUACCAGCGCAGCCUAACGCGCUACUGUAGCGACUCUCGAUAAUGGAACUCGAGACAUCAACUUGAUUUUAAUAGAUUUAUUUAGAAACAGGAAAGCAGCGCGAUACCGAGCGCGUUGUAAACGUGUCCAUGGGCAGGAAAGAGAACCUUACAUUACUGUUGUGUUCUGCCGCCCCUCCUUUUCAAUGGUAGUCUCCCAAUUUUUUUUGGCGUGGUCGAAGGUGAAGGUGUGGCGUGAGAGCGUGUGAAACCGAUGAAAUGCGUGAGUCUCACGGCCGAUGCGUGAGAGUUGGCAGCCCAGGCUGUGGGCAAAGACUGGGGCGAGCUUGAGGAUGCACGUUAUGAUGAGCAAGUGCAGAGCGUCUUGUCAGAAUUUAACAGGCGCUUCACUGACUUUGCAUCCAUUGAGCCUGUUGUCAGCUAUCUCUGUUUUACAUUUGGGGAAAAUGUGGAUGUAGAUGUGGAUUGUAUAACGUCCAAAGUGGCAUCACUCUUCAACCUGAAUGAGAUCCUCACACUGAAGAAUGACAUUGAGCUCAAAUCCAGAGCAACACCUGACAUGAAUGUCCGAUUCUGGAAUCUAAUGCAGAAAGAGAAGUACCCCAACCUCAGACAAACUGCAGAGAAUUUGACUGCACUUUUUGGAUCAACAUAUUUGUGUGAGUCCUUUUCACAUAUGAAAACCAUCAAGUCAAAAUACAGAUCCACCAUGACUGAUGACCACCUUGCAGUCUGCUUACGGCUGCCACUCAGCUCUUACUGUCCGGACUAUGAGAGACUCGCUUCCUCCUCUCAGUGCCAGAAAAGGUAGAGAAAUGCCACUUUUCCAACUUUAAUUAGUUCUUAUAAAAGUUCAAUGAAUUAGGCAUUGUAUUAUUUGGGUUGUUUGUCUGUCGCGUUGUUACGGGCCAGUCCUAGGCCUACUUGUGCUUAUUCUUUGCAAAUUCACAUUUACUUCAAUAAAUGUAUAUUAUGAUUGUUAAAACUGUAUCUAUGUGUCAGAAAACAGUGUCCUAUAUAGGUGCGCAAUAAAUUGUGGCUACGCUA